GACGAACGCUGGCGGCGUGCCUAAUACAUGCAAGUCGAGCGGACUUUCAAGAAGCUUGCUUUUUGAAAGUUAGCGGCGGACGGGUGAGUAACACGUGGGCAACCUGCCUGUAAGACGGGGAUAACUCCGGGAAACCGGGGCUAGUACCGGAUAAUAUCUUUCUUCGCAUGAAGGAGGGUUGAAAGGCGGCGCAAGCUGCCGCUUGCAGAUGGGCCCGCGGCGCAUUAGCUAGUUGGUGAGGUAACGGCUCACCAAGGCGACGAUGCGUAGCCGACCUGAGAGGGUGAUCGGCCACACUGGGACUGAGACACGGCCCAGACUCCUACGGGAGGCAGCAGUAGGGAAUCUUCCGCAAUGGACGAAAGUCUGACGGAGCAACGCCGCGUGAGCGAAGAAGGUCUUCGGAUCGUAAAGCUCUGUCGUCAGGGAAGAACAAGUACCGUUCGAAUAGGGCGGUACCUUGACGGUACCUGACCAGAAAGCCACGGCUAACUACGUGCCAGCCGCCGCGGUAA
rnacentral:rRNA from 1 species